rnacentral:ncRNA from 2 species
GGGAGCGGCCGUGACUGGCGCAAUGGUGGAGCACCACCGGGGAGCGGCCGAGCAGCCGCCGCGCGCCUGGGCAUCCGAA